UACGAAGGGGGCUAGCGUUGCUCGGAAUCACUGGGCGUAAAGGGUGCGUAGGCGGGUUUUUAAGUCAGGGGUGAAAUCCUGGAGCUCAACUCCAGAACUGCCUUUGAUACUGAAGAUCUUGAGUCCGGGAGAGGUGAGUGGAACUGCGAGUGUAUAGGUGAAAUUCGUAGAUAUUCGCAAGAACACCAGUGGCGAAGGCGGCUCACUGGCCCGGUACUGACGCUGAGGCACGAAAGCGUGGGGAGCAAACAGG
rnacentral:rRNA from 1 species